rnacentral:rRNA from 1 species
GGCGCGAGGAGACUUCAGACUUGUGUUCGCGCGAUAGAGUGGGACCGGUGUGUUUGGAUUUGGAUUUGGAUUUAGCGGGUGGUCGGCGGCGGUGGGAAGUAGAGGCAGCUAAGCCAGUACGGCGACGUGCAGGGUGGCAGCGGGCGCGGUGUGCUUCGAGGGUAGGUCGGGCGCCACGUCGGGGUGGUGGUCGUCGGACUCCACUGCGGGGCAGCAGUCGAGUAGGUCGCUGGCUGCGGCGGCACACGGCUAAGCCAGCGCGGCGACGCGGAGGUGGCGGCCGCCGCGGUGCGGCGGUGGGCUUCGAGAACGGGUCGGGCACCACGUAGGGCUGCACAGCGGGACCGCUGCCGGCUGCACGAAUGGUUAAACUCGCCAACGAAGAGGCUGACGGCAAUCACGGGGGGUUUCGAAGGAAGGUGGGGCACCACGAAGGUAGGUGUCGGUUCCUCGGCGUGUUGGGGGACGUAGGGCUCCACGGUGGGUCGGCAGGGAGAAGGUGGAGGUCACUACCGAGGGGAUAGGGGGGAACAGUACGGGAGGAAACGUAGAUUGACAACGUAGGACAUCGCAGAAGUUAACUUAGAUACAUGUAUCCCUUUUGAGGUGUUCUCCGAAGACUUCAAACCAGUUGCGGAUGUACUCCUGGUUGGAUAUCGAGCAUACACGGCGACCUAUUCCGGUACAGAAAGCACCCACCACGAACCGACUAAACAUGUACCUAUGAUAAUUUCUUACCAUGUUUGUAUAUACCUAAUACUUUCCAACUAGGUUCGGUCGAAGUCUUACUCGAGUUCCGUAUGUCCUUCUGGCUCCUCCCCUACUUGUGUGAAAACUUGGUGAUGGAGGUAAAGACACCUCAAAGAGAGUUCCAGUCGAAUUGGUUAAGGUAAGACUUUUAGUACGGCGUAUAUAAGUGAAGAGCAGCUAAGUGUUUUUCUUUGUUUUUUACUUGAAUGUAUACGUUCGACUUUACGACCACUAGCACUUCUUGUCAGGACACUUACCGUAGUAGUUCGAGUAGCUUGUCGUAGUGUAGUGUUUGGUACAGUGCCCUUGUAGAAGGAAGAGUGGCACACAGGUCUGGUUUAUGUCGAAGCAUUGUUCCAAAGUAGCUAUUUGUACGUGUAUUUUUAACAAGCACCUGAAGAUAUAUAUAUAAAUCCAUCCUCCAGGAUAAGAAAUUCCUAGAUAAAAUAGGCGAACAAGUAACAUUUAUAACUAAACACGUGGUUUGAACUCAGUACGGAACAAGGUUGACUCCGUAGGGACGUGAUACGUAUAUGCACUAAAACAAAAUGACGAUCGUUACACAGGGUAAAUAAAAUAUGAAGAAUCUACAAGCGGAAUUUGACCACGUGUAUUAAAAGUCGUCCCGUUGAAGAAUCGAGUUGACUACCCACCUACAGGAAAGAAUGUCAGCACGUACGAGAUUGGUAAACAAGAAAGAACAGCACUACCUUCUACAUUGUGGUAAAUGAACGAUCACUGUUACCGUGCAGGUGUUCAACUAUGUUCUACAAGACUACUAGCCAAAACAAGUAUCGUACAAACUGUGUAAAGCACCUAUACCUUCAACUCCAGUCGAGCCACUAGCUUCCAUAAACCAGAGAAGGAAUAAUAGAACAUCAUCAGUUCACUAGCUUGUUAACCCAGAGAAUCCUCGAAUCGGCAGUAUAAAACAUUAUCUGUUGCAGAACAUACAACUGAAUGAAUAAAGGAAUAACCAACAUCGACUGAACUCACAUCGUUUAUUACUUAGAACAUAUAUACGAACUUACUUACAUAAUUAGUUACCAUAGAACACUACUUAGCUUC